GACGAGUCUCACGAACGUUAUUCGGAAUUACUGGGCUUAAAGGGUGCGUAGGCGGUGAAGUAAGUCGGGUGUGAAAUGUCAUAGCUUAACUAUGGAACUGCACUCGAUACUAUUUUGCUAGAGUAAGACAGAGGUGAGUGGAACUGAGGGUGGAGCGGUGAAAUGCGUUGAUAUCCUCAGGAACACCGGUGGCGAAGGCGACUCACUGGGUCUUUACUGACGCUGAUGCACGAAAGCUAGGGUAGCAAACGGG
rnacentral:rRNA from 1 species